UUCUGGUAGUUCAGAUGGUAGAGAACCUGCCUAGAAUGCAGGAAACCAGGGAUCGAUACCUUGAUCGGAAA
rnacentral:tRNA from 1 species